rnacentral:piRNA from 1 species
UGCUUGCUUUCAUUGCCCCUGUGCAGC